rnacentral:tRNA from 1 species
CAGAGAAUAGUUUAAUUGAGAAUACCAGCUUUGGGAGUUGGAGAUGGGGGUUUGAAUCCCUCUUUUCUGA